GAACUAACAAGGAUUCCCCUAGUAACUGCNAGUGAAGCGGGAAANUCCCAAAUUUAAAAUCUGGUGGUCUUUGGCCAUCCGAGUUGUAAUUUAGAGAAGUGUNUUCCGCGCUGGACCGUGCACAAGUCUCCUGGAAUGGAGCAUCAUAGAGGGUGAGAAUCCCGUCUUUGGCAUGGACACACCAGGGCUUUUGUGAUGCGCUCUCGAAGAGUCGAGUUGUUUGGGAAUGCAGCUCAAAAUGGGUGGUGAACUCCAUCUAAAGCUAAAUAUUGGCGAGAGACCGAUAGCGAACAAGUACCGUGAGGGAAAGAUGAAAAGCACUUUGGAAAGAGAGUGAAACAGUACGUGAAAUUGUUGAAAGGGAAACGCUUGAAGUCAGUCGCGUUGGCCAAGACUCAGCCUUGCCCCAUGGCUUGGUGUACUUCUUGGCCAACGGGUCAACAUCAAUUUUGCCCCUUGGAUAAUGAUGAGGGAAAUGUGACNCCUUUACGGGUGUGUUAUAGUCUCUUGUCGCAUGCAAGGGUCAGGGUUGAGGAACUCAGCAUGCACCCUUUGGGUGUCGGGACUUUGUNCACGAUACAUGCUUAAGAUGUUGGCGUAAUGGCUUUAAACGACCCGUUUGGAAAACACG
rnacentral:rRNA from 1 species